GGGAAGGCAACUGGGAUUGCCUCAGUAACGGCGAGUGAAGCGGCAACAGCUCAAAUUUGAAAUCUGGCCUCUUUGGGGUCCGAGUUGUAAUUUGUAGAGGAUGUUUCGGGUACCGCCUCGGUUUAAAUUUCUUGGAACAGAAUGUCAGAGAGGGUGAGAAUCCCGUCUUGGACCGGCGGUAGGGCCCAUGUGAAACUCCUUCGACGAGUCGAGUUGUUUGGGAAUGCAGCUCAAAAUGGGUGGUAAAUUUCAUCUAAAGCUAAAUAUUGGCCAGAGACCGAUAGCGCACAAGUAGAGUGAUCGAAAGAUGAAAAGCACUUUGAAAAGAGAGUUAAACAGUAUGUGAAAUUGUUGAAAGGGAAGCGCUUACAACCAGACUUGAGCGCGGCGGUUCCCCCUUCCUUUUGGUUGGGUUACUCCGUCGUGUCCAGGCCAACAUCGGUUCUGGGGGUCGGUCAAAGGCUUUGGGAAUGUAUCUACCCUUCGGGCGUAGACUUAUAGCCCAGAGUGUCAUGCGGCCUCCCGGGACCGAGGAACGCGCUUCGGCUCGGAUGUUGGCGUAAUGGUUGUCAGCGACCCGUCUUGAAACACGGACCAAGGAGUCUAACAUCUAUGCGAGUGUUUGGGUGUCAAACCCGUAACGCGAAAUGAAAGUGAACGGAGGUAGGAAGCCGCAAGGCUGCACUAUCGACCGAUCCUGAUGUCUUCGGAUGGAUUUGAGUAAGAGCAUAGCUGUUGGGACCCGAAAGAUGGUGAACUAUGCCUGAAUAGGGUGAAGCCAGAGGAAACUCUGGUGGAGGCUCGCAGCGGUUCUGACGUGCAAAUCGAUCGUCAAAUUUAGGUAUAGGGGCGAAAGACUAAUCGAACAUCUGGUACUGUCUCCAAAAA
rnacentral:rRNA from 1 species